UAUGUGGAAUAUAAUGGUUGACUCAAAAAUCAUCAUUAGGGAUAGAAAUGCCUGUCUUGUUCAAGGACGCAAUGCAACACAGCCACACCUGUGCCUUUAUUUGGUGCUCCUCUCAGUGUAUCUGCCUUUAGCUAAGCAUUUCUCCUCCUAAUUUGCAUCUUAAUCAUCUGUGGACUUUAAACUGGGAACGCUUUCUUUUCUGAUCAUCCCAGGAUUUUGAAGAUUAUCUUCUACACAACUCCAAGAUUCUAUGAAGGAGAGGUCGGGGUCCUUUUACUGCAGCUUGAAGUGGUGGCUGUGCAGCUAUGUCACUCUCCUGAGCUAUGGAGCAGAUCUGUGGGCCACAAUGCAAGGGACUGAAUCUUCUGUGU